GCAAGGUGUUUUUUUUUGUGUUUUUGUUUUUUUAAGGAAAAAAAAACAGCACCCUUGCAUCACAUUCCACAUCUUCAUUAAAUUAACAUCACACACAAGUUGCUUCUCAAGGACGUGAAGGUGAUUGUUGUGCCAGCAGCAGGAGUGUAAAGCUGUAUUUAGAAACGUACCAGAGGGUGCUGAGUGAGGAGUACAGUGUCAUUACGAAGCUGCAGGCCAUCGUCUUUGAAAGGCAGUGGCAACGGGGGAAUGGUCCUGAUGAUUGCAGAAAGAUGAAGGCUGCUGCGCCGUUCUUCAAAGGGAACAAUUUGAGGAAUUACAAGCUGGUCAGUGUGACCGAAGUCCAUGGAAAGGUUACUGAGUGAAUCCUCACAAAGCUGCGUCCGGCGCUAUGUCCAGACACAGGAAGGUUAAGAACACAACUGGGAACAAUCAACAUGGAUUUAUCAAGGGCAAAUUAGUCUGACCAAGCUUAACUGCCUUUUGUGAUGAGAUGAGCAGCACUGGACGAGAGGAGAGGAAGCCGUGUCAUUUACCUUGAUGUUAGAAAGGCUUUCAGCAGUCCCCCAAAGUGCUCUUGCGGAAAGCAGAAUUGGAGAGGUGCGGUUUGGACACAUGAAUUAAAAGGUGGGUGGAAAGUUCACUGAACUCUCAGAUGCAGAGGGGCAGGCAAGGCAAAACCCAACCAGCAGCAUUCCCUGGGACCUGCUGCUGGAGCUGUUGCACAUCUCCACUGCUGACCUGGGUGAUGGGGCAGAGCGGACCCGCAGCGAGCCCCUGGCUGGCACCAGCCCGGGCACAGUGCGGGAGAGCUCUGCAGGGCAGGAGCCGGGUGUCCCGGUUACAGGGUGCACGGGAGCCACAGACCAGGUGGGCAGCGUGGGCGAGAGCAGAGCCAGCGUGGUUCUGGGCACGAGAUCCAGAGGCGCUGCUUCGCACAGAGGCUGUCCUCGUCCUGAAGACCCCGCAGUGAGGAGGCGCUGCUGGCAGGCAGGAAGCCUGGCUACUUCCAUUGCACGAUAGGGCACGUCUGCGGCCUUCGGAGUCUGCCACAAGCACAAAUGUUUUAGGAUUGUAAGGCUGACUCUUCACAUGUGGUGCUUUUGAAGACUGAAGAAUUUAUAGUACUGUUGAAACCCUCUGGCACUCUUUGACCUGCUCCGUUCUUCUAUGCAUUGAUUACUGAUAACCCUCAGAAAUGAGGAACUGUUCUGUCCCUUUUUCUGCUGAAGAGGCCAGCUGAGCUCGUGAUGCUGUCCGUUCAUUGCUGAUGGUGUUUGUAAUCUGCUGCCAAACGAUGUCAUUUCUGGUUCUUUCAUCUUUUCCCUAGGGCCAGACUGCAGGCCUUUCACACCACUAGAAGAGCAGAUUAAAUUGGUCUUCGGAUGCGCAGGCUGCAGACUGAGACAGUGAAUUUGAACAUGGUGAAGAAGGUUGGUGAUAGUUUCCCAGAUUUUAGAGAGUUCUUGAGCGUUUAUGAGAAUUUUAAGGAGUUAAAGAGAAUAUGGAACAGGUUGGAGGGCCUGAUCUAGUGGGUGGCACCCCUGUCCGUGGCAGGGGUUGGAACUGGGUGAUCUUGAAUGUCCCUUCCAACCCAAACCAUUCUGAUUCUAUGAUGCUAAGUAAAUGUCUUCCGUCUGAGACUUUAAGUCAGUGUCUUAUCAGGGAUUUAACUGCAGUUUUAUAGAGCACCCUGGAUAUGUUAAACUCUGUACUUCUUACUACAAUGAAAAGAUAAGCUAGAUAAAGGGCCAAGAAAUGGUCUCGUUCGCUUUUCCCAGAUUUGUUAUGUUUACCAGCUGGAAGAUUACACAAUUUAGGGGGAUAUCCUGGAACAGAAAUGGAUGCCAGGCAGUAAGGGAUGACAGAGUUCUUUUAAAGCAACUCUAUCCUAAUUGUACUAAAGAAAAAGGAGCGAAUGACAAAAGGUGCUAGGCAGUUAUCACCUCUUCCUGCCCUAGUCAUUACUAGUUGUGCUUAUACAACAGAAUUAACAGUUAAUACUGAAAAUAUCAGGAGGAAUAGGAAAUCACUUUAAAACUCAAGGGGAGAUGUGCUCUUUGCUUUGGUUGGGCCAGUAUUGCAUGCCAAAAUUAAUCAGUCAUGUUUCUACAGGAAACCCUGAGGAUGUAGGUGUAUAGAGCGUAAUGUACGUUUGGGACAGGUGACAAAGUUCAGCUUACCUAAUGUAAAAUAAGAUUUCUUGCUUGAGUACAGGUAGGGCUGAAUACCUACAGCCAAGUACUCUGCUGACUUCAGUAUUGUGUGUCUUCUAGGAAAGUCACUAGGCCCAGAGAGGCAGCAGACGUAGUCCUGACCCCACUGGAAACUACAGCUAGGGCGUUCUUCCAGUCCAUAUGCCGUACCAGGUAGUGUUAAUGGGAGAAGGAAGUCGUGCACUACAGGCAAUAACUACCCUAACUCCUUUGGUCAUUAAAUCCACACUUGUCUGAGAGAUGAAGGAAAGAGGCUGUUGCAGCUCCUUGACACCGUUUAAAAUGGAGCAUAGCUGUGUAUUGGGUUUCCGAAGUCUCUGCAGUGACCUGAGGAGCAGCAUCAGGAUACCACCCAAGAAACAAACAAUUAUUUAAAGUAAGAGGUAUUAUGUCAGUUCUUAACACACCCGCUAGAAGGGACUGCAGAAGGAGGUCUGAAACAGACUAAGGCAGCACAGCAAAGAAUGAAUGAAGGCAGGGGAAAAGUGGGGAAAAAAAAUCUUGUCUGCUGCAGAGAGACGGGAAGGAGGACAGUGUCAUAAGGAAAACAUCAAAAGGCAAAAUGAAGAGAACUGGGAUUCAAACAAAACUGACUUAAAAAGUAGGUAAACGGGGAGAGGGUACAGAACAGCGGGGCCUGGUCUUUGUAGGUAAGGCACAGCAAUCUGCAUCCAGGCUCAGUGCGGCGGGGAAGUGAAAGCCCACCUCCAUGUGCCAGCUUUUUUCUGCUCCCAAGAGAGGAGAUCUGCUCUCCCGAAGACAGACAGAUGGCAUUGCCAUUGCCUGUGCUCCUGUGGGGGAUUUUUCCAGAUGGGGAGUUGGAAGCUCCUUUGUGCUGUUACAGCCUUCCUCUCUAGCAGCUCUCGACUGCUCAGGGCCUCCACCAGUCUGUGUACCCAUAUCAUAUGCUACUUGCACAUGCACACACAUGCGUCUUGGUCCUGUGCGAAUUUCAGCUGAACCUGUUGGAGAUUGCUAACAAAAACUGAGUUACCAGCGCUGAUCUUAAAGGAGAGAUGAGGAGAGUGUUUUGCGCAGAGGAACCGCAGGCAGCGCCGCCUCGCACAGGAGCUUCAUCAGGUACUCUCUGUCCUUUCUCACCUCUGACAGAUACGGAAGAUGGCACAGAAAUGACAAGUUAUCUGGAAAACCACUGGGUGAUGCAGGAAGCAUCACCUUCAUCACAACCCAAUGAGCUGUUCACUGAAUAAAGCAGGACAAAUUGAAGGAAGGCCAUUUUAAAUAAUAAACAGCCACCUUUGAUCUCUGCUUCCUUAACAGCUGAGCAAAUGAGCACAGAAAGUAAAACUUUGGAAAGGUAACGUAAUUUCGGGUUUUACAAUCAAGUAAAGGGAGAUACUAAGUCUGUUCCCUUUAUCUUGGUUACACAUUAAAUUUAUGACAACCUCACCAGUGUAAAUAAGUACAUUCUGUUUUGCUUUCUCAUAUUUUCCUUCCUCUGCAACUUUGCAGCCUACAGUUGCAUCAAGUGACCUUGCUCCUUCCCCUCUGCUUUCAUUCAGUUUCGUUUUAUGCUCGUUACUGGAUUGUCACCAGGUGUUCCUGUCUUCCUGGUUAGUUUCAUUUCCCCAGUAAUACCAGAAUAAGGAAAAACUGUAGCAGCUGAAAAAUAUAUGCAAAGCCUGCUAUAUGCCGCAACUGUCUUAAAAAUAGUAUUACUCCAUUUUCAUUAAUAAAAUUCACAAAAGGGCAUGUGUUCUGAUCUCUCGCUACGUCCAUACAUUCUUUAAAAUCAUCUCAUCGAUUUAUCAAACACAGUAGAAAAGUUCAUCUAUCAUUUGGAAAAGCAGCCAGGCCAGGCCUGAGUGUGGGAAAAGGUGUUGCAGCUGUCCUUCAACAUCAGAUUUGCACUUCACUGAAUUUAAAUAAAUAAAUAAAUAAAUAAAUAAUGAAAAAUAAACAGGCUAAGGAGCAGCACAGGCCUUGCCCUCAGACAGUCUUGGGCUCCUGAGGCACUGCUGAAAUGCGGAGAGCUGCUGGAGUCAGUUAUGUCAGGCACCGUAAAUCAAGCUGCCGUUUUCAACAGCAGUCAGAAAACUGGAAGCUUUUGCAAAUCUGUGGGGUGCAGCUGCAAAGCUCCGGGUGCAAGGCACCUUCAGGGAGCUGGCAGCCGUAGCCUGCACUAGAACUCGUGAGUGACCUGCAUCAGAUAGGUGAAAAGAGCAUUAAAGGGAUGGAGCUAUUUGGGGCACGGCACUGCGGAAAGAAACAGCUGCAAGCACCACAUCCAAGCAGAGAUGAAAGUAACCGGUGGUGAUGCUGCUCAUGCAGCCUUUCAGCAACAGCCAGAGGGUCCCUGCUAGAUUGCAGCUCCUCGUGCAAAGCAGACAUCCUCCUUCACGUCAAAGUGCAAACGUCACUUGGGGUUUUCUCUCCUAGGCACUCACGGCAUUAUGCCAGGAAGAACUGUCGAGCAUCCCACCUGCCUGCAGCCAGCUUAAGCAACGCAAGGGCAAGUGUUGGUGCUCCUGCUUUAAAGGGAUGCUCUGACAAGCUCCAGCUCGGUGAGUAACAACGUGCUAGAUACAGCGUGCUUCUCAUACCCGUGGGACAAGUACCCGCAAGAAAAAUCUCCAACCAUAACGCAAUAAAACGUGCAUGAGUUUAACAAAGAUACAUACUUUGCUUAAAUCAGUAAAUACAGUGAACUUGGGAUGACCAGGACCAGUAACAAGAUAAAACGAUAAAAAUGGGCGAUUUGUACUACUGGAAGCAUCUAAAGGAAGGAGGGUGCUCAGUCACAGAGACUUUUAUGAAAGUAGCAUACAGGUCUUGUCAGUCUCAAAGUACAAAUACAUACCAGAGAAAAAUGCACGAAGAACCUCCUUCACUAAAGUGUGUGCUCUCAAAUUCAGAGAAAAUUAAAUUUCUUAAGUUGUGUUUCUCAUCUGUUUCUGUGAUGAAUUUUCACUCUUGUUCUCAAAAUAGUUUUAGUACCUGCUGCAGGGUGAACACGUAAUUUAAAAAACAUGCAGAAUUGUAAAGACCCUCAGACUUGUGAAAAUACCUCAUCGGCAGUCUGUGUGGUCAAAGACCCAAGGAAGAUGCAAAAUACAAGCAGGUACAGCAAUAUGAUAGAAGACAGGAAGAAACAGCGUGAAAAAAUCUUAAAAAUUGAAUCACUGGGCUUACAUUUAACCCAGGAGGACGUUCACAAAGUCCAUCUCUAGGGAAAGAGGUAGUGAGCAGCAGCACAAACAACCACGUGAAGCAAUGCUUCAGUGAAGGAAAAACAACACGGCUACAAGCACUCUGAAAAACCACAGAGUAGUUUUUUCCCACACAAAGUCCUUCAUCUGGUCCUCAACAGAGGACCCACCACGCUCUCAACACCAGGAGGGCGACCAGCAGUAAACGACUAAACAAACAAAUAAAAAGGAGGAGGGAAAAAAAAAAAAAAGCACGCAGGGACUACUGUAAUAAAAUGGCUUUGUUUAAAAUGAUUUCAGACACAGAGCAACCAGUCAUCACCUGAUUAGAAUGCAACAUAUGUUCCAUUAGACAGAACUACGAAACGUCUGUACACUCAGCUGCAUUUGGGAUAAUAAGCUCUCAUUUGCUAUAGGCACUGUAUGUUCUUUUCGUUUUACUUCUAGUGGCAAUUAACCUCCCUGUUAUUAAGAAAAUUGAGCUCGAAGUGGAAGACAAACACACUCAUUUGCAGCACUGAAGAAACAAGAUCCUUUUACAUAGGCUCGUUUCUUCAAAUGCGUUUUUUACCUCCCAAACUCUUUCAGACAAAGUGAAGCAAAUCCAACCUUCCUCCUAAGUUUCCGACUCCCAGACUCCACAGGCAGAAGCCCCGUGCAACACUCACAGGUGCUUUAUGUUUGUGAGCUUCUCUUCUGCAACCCCAUCUCCUUGGGGUUUGUGUUCCCACCAUAGAUUGGGAACUCUAAUAUUGGACCACCAUCCCAAGUCCCGCUCCUGGAGAUAAAACCUGACUUAGCAUAUGCUCACUGAAAACACAAGGUUAUUUUAUCUGACAAGGAUUUUUUUCAAGGAGUACUAGGAGAAUUAAUACAGCACUCUUGCACUGAUCAUUUAAGUGCAUAUAAGCAAUCCAAACUACAUACCAGAAACUUCAACCCCUAUUUCAAAUAAUCAAGGAAAAAUUUCACCUCAAAUCGCAAAAAAACAUCAAAGUUUGGAAAACUGGGAGCAAAUUCAAACAGCAGAGUAUUUCAGGCCUGCAUGAGAGCAGUGCAGCAGCUGGGGAGCACGCAGAGCUUACCUUCUGGAAUGAUGAUGAUGCAGAAAGAAAAAUGAAGAAAGAGCAGUUUGCUUUGCUUUGGAGGUGAGAGGUCACAGUUUGUGCAGAACUGUGGAUGCCAUAAACCACAGCGGUCAUCUCGCAGUUUAAAGAGAAAACAGUCUGCCAAGCCUAACGGGAUUGUAGUGGAUGUUUCAGUUUCUCAGGAGAACACAAAGCGGAAUGCGCAGAAUCACACAGGUCCGGCCAAAGCCUCUUAGCCCCACACAGCACAAGCAGCAGUGUCUGUGCUGACCAGUGCUCAGCUGGCCUUGUCUCCUGACUGCCCUCGGUGGCACACAGAGAACCACGGUACUUACCUGCAGUUGCAAAGGUUUUGUUGUUUUCUUUUUCCCAUUUUUCUCCCAGCCUGAGUUUGCAACCAAGUUCCUGGGCUGCACUGCACACGUAUGACCAACGUGCUGCAGGCAGACGUUUUAGCAUUUGUCUUGUAGCACUCAGGAGGCACCAUCUUCACCUCAAAAUGGGAUUCAACUACCCUAAGCUCUCUCUGCAGACCGGGCUCAAGGACUAGAUGCAAGACAAAAAAUAAAUAGGGAAAAGGCAGGAGAUGGCACAGGUCAGUUUGCCCAGCCAGGAUACCUGACUUGUCAUCACAACAAGGAGAGUUUUAAGCAUGAGUUCAAGGAAGGGAACAGUUCAGCAGAUGUUUGGGGGUCAUUCCUCCCAAGUACAAGUAAAAAACUGAAGGCAAAACCGGCUGCACACGAAUAGGGGUUAGAAGACACUGAUAUCAGCAUUUCAGCAGUAGUGGAGAAAAACUGACAGGGAACACGGGAGCAGGUUGUGAAAAGGAGGACCAGUAGCCUGGUCCAGUGGAGGAGUCACACUCAGUAUAGGAACACACACUGGAGAAGAAAUGGAAGCAUCAGAUCAAUGGGCUCACAAAAUGAUCCUUGCUGCAAUGUGUACCACCAGAACAUGGUAACAUUUGUCAGCACCAAAGGGAAGAACAAGGAGGUUUGAGCAGCAUAGAUGAAGAGUUUUGUUUUAAAUAAAACAGCUAAACGAACAUACGACAUUUAAGCAGUUUCUGCAUAUACAGUACGAAAGCAACCUGAGGUGAAUGAGAUGGUUCAUAGACUUCUGUGACAGGGAAAGACAACAGCAUGCUAACAGCUACUUCUCGUCUUCUCUCCUAAAUCAAAACUUUAAGAACAUACUUUAUGUUUGCAGUAGGCAGCUGUAACAGAUAAAUAUUCCAUCGCAGAUGACAGGCUUUGAAUAUUCACAGGUGAAAUGAGAUAUAAUAUCCAGAAGACUCUGCUGCAUUCAGGUGUGGCCCUCAGUUCACUGUUGCUAACACUAUUAAGAUUACUGGAUUUUUUUAGCCUUUCAACCACCCCCAUCCCCCCCAACUUCCAUCUUAUAUGGAGCAAAAAAUCCAAUAGCAACAACUGACAGAAAAACACUAAGACAUAAUCGGCCUCACCAGAACAACCUGAUCCACAUCUGUUCCUGCACUUGGGAAACCAGAUUUUCCUUGGGGCAGAUUAUGGUAACCUUUGCUCAUUUGCGUUGCCUAUAUUUGGAUGCACAAAGUGUGUUAGUGCAGAACUUGUCGGGGCUUGUAGACUUGCAGAAGGGUUCUUUGGACUUCGUCCCUGGGCUGGCUGCAAACUCAGAUGAAGAUUUAGCAGCAAAGGCAGAAGAGUUAGAUCAGACUUGCGGAAUGGGAUAGGCAGUCCAUCACCAAUUUAAGGUAUCCUCUACAGAGAAACAGAUUGCUCCUUUCACCUUCCAUCUUUGCCUAAAAUUUACAGUAAAUUCUACUGGGAAUUAUGGGCUAUUCCCUGAACCCAAAAACAUUUUGGAUGUUUAAUGGCUUACUACAGUUGCAACUUCUGUGCUUAGUUUGAAAUACACUAGAGUUGUUCUUGGAUCUUGCCUUUUCCUCUGCAUUGUUGUUUGAAAAAGGAGAUUCCAGCCUUGUAUAACUAGCUCCUAGAAGCGAUUAAUACUAGUCCCUAGAAAGGAAACGUAGUAUUAUAUAUUAUACACUGGCCAGAGUGACUGGAAUAGAAAUACCUUUGAAGAUCAGGGCUCCAGUAACACAAUCUCACUGGCAUCAGGAGGACAGCAAAAUGAGGCUUGUCCUCAUUCACCUCAAGACUACGUACUUCUGGAACAGGGUAUAUUUCUCUUAAACAUUUUCCAAAAUUAUCUUUGCAUAAUGAUCAGCACAGAGACGAAACAAAUCUCUCAAAGUUGUGCACACUUCACGGGCUAGUAACUGGAGUGAAUGUUGCAUCUACAACUUCGGAAGGUUCCUACCAAAAUAAAUAAGAACCUAACUUGUUAAAGCAAUUUUUAUUUAAGUAUUUGGAGGGAAACUUUCAUACCAUAAGUAAAA